UUGUAGAAGUCAAAAAAGUCUGAGGUGCCUAAUAUCAAAUAUAAGGAUUUGAUGGAGUUAUCUAAAAAUCUGAGAAUUGGAAUAAAUCGUGUUCGUAUAACGAUAUCCGAAUACAAAAACAAUACAUUGUUGACAUCGCCAAACCGUAAAAGAAAUCGCCAAGGAAUCUGUGAUAAAGUGGAUGAAUUUGACAAAAAUGCACUUCGCCGUAAAAUACAUCAAUUUUGGUUCAAUAAAGAAAUGCUGACGAUCUCUAAAAUAUUGGCUGUCAAUGAUGACGACUCAUUACCGAAUUUCAAACUCGAGUCUUUACGAAAAAUACUCAAGAGUUUGAGUUUCAAAUUUUGUAAAAGGAAUAGGAAUAGCAUUCUUAAUGAAAAGAACAGACCUUAUUACAUGGCGUCGAAAUUAUUUGAUAUCAGUCAAAAAAUUUAGAGAAUAAGGAAGGACAGUUUACUAUUUAGAUGAAACCUGACUGAACACUGGCGAUUGUGUUGGUAAGGUAUGGGUCAACGAAACCGUUAAGUCUCACAGACAAGCCUUCCUGGAAGGACUAUCAACGGACCCUCCAAAUCCUACGAAUAAAGAAAAAAGUUAAUUAUACUGCAUAUCGGUUCAGACAACGGUUUUGUAUCAGGUGAUCUCGUGUGCUUCAAAUCCAAAAAGAACACAAGUGAUUACCAUAAUGAAAUGAACAGUAAAACUUUUCAAGAUUGGUUCGAAGAAGUGCUGCCACCACUUGAAAAUAAUGCCGUUAUUGUAAUGGAUAACGCACUCUACCAUUCAGUAAAAUUCGAGAAAGUACCAGCGUAGAAAAAGCAAUCAGUCGUCAAUUGGUUUAUAUCAAAAGGCGAAGAUAUCGAUCCUUCGAACAUAGCAAAAGUAGACUUAAUGCAAAUUGUUAAAUGUCUUAAGCCAAG